rnacentral:lncRNA from 1 species
AUUCGAUAAAAUACAAACUAAAACAGAAAUUAUAAAAGGAAAAAAAAAGGAGAUUAAUAAAUGCACAUAGGAAUGACAUUGUUCUGGCUCCCAGACUGAUUUUCAACAUAUUUUCAUAUAAGCAGAGUGUUUGUAACACUGAAAUAAUGCACUCCUGAAUUAUUUCAUCCUCAUGGCAGGGCUCAGCCUGUGAGAGAACGCUCAGCUGAAACCUGUCCAGCCGUGUUCAUGUUCAUCAGCUGCUGUCGGUCUGCGCUGGGCUGUGCAGGAGCCCUGCACUGAGCACUGGGGGUGCGUGUGUCAAAGCUGUAGAACACGUGCGUAAACCCACAGAGUGCUGGGAGCCAUAGAAAAGAUUGGUAAAACAUGCAUAAAGAGAGGAGGCUGAUGAUCUACAGGAUUUUCUUUGUUGAAGCAACCACAGCCCAGAGCCUGGUCUGUUAAAACAGCCCUACAGGUUUGUCAGACUUCAAAUGUAGGCUGUAGGCACAGCAGCUCCUGUGCAAACCAAUGGCUGUUGCUACCCUGUGCCUGUGGGCAGAUCGGAGCAGUGAGCAACUGGAAUCCAGCUGGAGGAAGGUGGUUAAAGGCUGAGUGGCUCAUUGGAUCUAAGGAGACUGCUGCUCAUGGGAGUGUUGGCUCUUAAGAAAUUGGCAGGUAACAGAAACAACUAAGAGUUGUAAUGCAAACAAUUAAAGAUCUUUCUAAUCUUUAACUCAUGUCUCAGCAUCCGCUGGAUCUGACCAUAAGGAACAUCUAAAAGGUGAGUUCUACACAUCUGUUUCAUUUUGAGAAUGCAGCCCUGUCUCACCCUCAUUUAUUUGUUUUGCAAAUACUUACUUAGGGACAUAAAGAACAUUUUUGUUUCAUAU